AUGUUAUCAAGAAAGGUGGAGGGAUUAGACCCUUUGAAACCUUAGCAACCCUUUGCAAUGCUGAACUCAAUUCAGAAUUUUAAAGAAGGUGCUAAAUUCUACCCAAAGUACUGAAUUUAUUUCAGUAUCUCACAAAAGAGAUUGGAUAGAUAACAA
rnacentral:ncRNA from 2 species